rnacentral:rRNA from 1 species
GACGAACGCUGGCGGCGUGCUUAACACAUGCAAGUCGAACGGAAAGGCCCUGCUUUUGUGGGGUGCUCGAGUGGCGAACGGGUGAGUAACACGUGAGUAACCUGCCCUUGACUUUGGGAUAACUUCAGGAAACUGGGGCUAAUACCGGAUAGGAGCUCCUGCUGCAUGGUGGGGGUUGGAAAGUUUCGGCGGUUGGGGAUGGACUCGCGACUUAUCAGCUUGUUGGUGGGGUAGUGGCUUACCAAGGCUUUGACGGGUAGCCGGCCUGAGAGGGUGACCGGCCACAUUGGGACUGAGAUACGGCCCAGACUCCUACGGGAGGCAGCAGUGGGGAAUAUUGCACAAUGGGCGGAAGCCUGAUGCAGCAACGCCGCGUACGGGAUGACGGCCUUCGGGUUGUAAACCGCUUUCGCCUGUGACGAAGCGUGAGUGACGGUAAUGGGUAAAGAAGCACCGGCUAACUACGUG